CGACCAUCUGGGACCUGCUGCGCCGGUUUUUCUGGUUUCCGGCUACCAGGGGGCGCUAGGACCCAAUCGGACGUGCUAGGAGGGGCGGCGGCCAAGUGGUCCGGGAGCCGCGCGUUCGGGUGUGGGGGACCGUAGCUUGGACCCGGGAGGGCUGCAAGCCUACUCAAGCUGCUUUUCUUCUUCCAUCACCUUCUCCUUUCGCUGUACACGGGCCACACAGUGGAACUGCAGCGGUGAAAACGACUGAAGUCGGGGCGCUGUAACCUCCUGACCACCCUGAGGAGCGGCAGCGGAAACACAAGUAAGAAUGGAGGAUGCUCUUCUCCCUAGAAGCUAACAAAGGGUCAAGUCUUUCUCUGUGAAAUGGCUGUAGAAUAUAAACAGAGGCUCCUGGCAUUUCCCUCCUGGCUCAGUUCAAGAACCACCCACUCCAAGCUGUCUUCCUGGAUUUUCUCAGCCCAAAGUAAUCCUUCUUUUUCUGAGGUAAGUUAUAAAUCUUGUUAUUGUUCAGUUGCUAAGUCGUGUCCAGCUCUUUGUGACCCCAUGGACUGCAGCAUGCCAGGCCUCCCUGUCCAUCACCAUCUCCUGGAGUUUGCCCAAGUUCAUGUCCUUUGAAUCGGUGAUGCCAUCCAACCAUUUCAUCCUCUGUCACCCCCUUCUCCUGCCCUCAAUCUUCCCCAGCAUCAGGGUCUUUUCCAGUGAGUCAGCUCUUCACAUCAGGUGGCCAAAAUAUUAGAGCUUCAGCUUGAGCAUCAGUCCUUCCAGUGAAUAUUCAGGGUUGAUUUCCUUUAGGAUUGACUGAAUUGAUCUUGCUGUCCAAGGGAUUCUCAUUGCUCUUGGUUUAUUUGUUUUAUUUAGACUCCAUUCACUGUUUUACAAUCAUACCCUUUGCUUUGUACUUAUUUGGCUUUGUUUUGGGCCAUGCCACGGCAUGUGGGAUCUUAGUUCCCCUGCCAGGGAAGUCCCUGUACUUGUUCAUAUUCAUGACUUCUAUCCUCUACCUGAUUUUAAAUUCCUUGAGGGAAGGUACUUAGGUUGUUCAACUUUAAAUGAAUAAUUUUCUUUCUCAUCAUCAGGUACAAAAGAGGUUCAACAGUGAGGUAAGUUGAUAAGUUCCCCAGUGUACUUAGAAUCUAAUCUUUAAUUUCUCUUGUUUCUAGUGAGGACUUUUCCUGUGAAAUACUAGUAAUUUCCUUUGUCCCCAGCAAUCUCCUUUGUAACUUGAAGCCUGUUUUCUAUGAUUUUCUUUGCCAUGGUGUUGAUGGAACUACUUCCACCAGGGGGAGCUCCUUACUAUAUCUAGGUCAAUUUCUUUUUCUUUAGAGGCAAAAGAAAGGAGACUUCAUCAGGCAAAAUAUUGAAGCAGUGGGAAUACAAACAAUAGGAAGUAGGAACUUGCGACUUGGGACUUGAUUUGAUUCCAGCACCAGUUGGCCCAAAUGCCAUUCACUUGUCAUAUUGGGUUUUGGUAUGAUUCUGGCCCAUGUGUAAAGAUUUCUCUCUCCCCAGCCAUUUAUUUCAUCUACAGAUAUAUAUUAAUCAUGUACUUUCUGUCAAGUAUUGCAGAUGCUGAGCUUCAUCUGUGAACAAAACCUACCGAGUCUCUGACCUCAUGGAACUCAUGAUGUGGACUCAGGGCCACACAGGAACAACUCACAGCAAACUACAGGGACACUCAUGACAGGUCUGUGCCCAGGGAAGUCCACCAAGUCUCCAGGUCUGAGGCAUUUAUGAAACAAAACUCAAGUCUCAAAUGAAAGGAUCCCUGAAGACUUCCUUAUGGAUUUUGUCUCUGGGAACAUGGAUGACUAUACCUCUUUAAAUGAAUUCUUGUAUCGUCGCAGCAGUGCUUUGAGGGCUCAGCAGCAUGGACACAGAAAGAGCAGUGGUGGCUGAUUGCAUUGAUCCGGAUUUGGAAGUUGUUAAAGCAGAAGGAUAAGACUCUUGAGAGUCCCUUGGACUGCAAGGAGAUCAAAUCAGUCAAUCCUAAAGGAAAUCAACGCUGAAUAUUCAUUGGAAGGACUGAUGCUUAAGCUGAAGCUCAAACUUCAAUACUUUGGCCACCUGAUGUGAAGAGCCGACUCACUGGAAAAGACCCUGAUGCUGGGAAAGAUUGAAGGCAGGAGGAGAAGGGGACCACAGAGGACGAGAUGGUUGGAUGGCAACACCGACUCAAUGGGCAUGAACUUGGACAAACUCUGGGAGAUAGCAGAGGAUAAAGGAGCCUGGUGUGCUGGGAUCCAUGCGGUCUCAAAGAAUCAGACAUGACUUAGCGAUUGAACAACAACAACAAUCUCUUCCACCACUUCCUCAACCUCACCCUGAGUGAUCUUCUCCACUCUUUUCAGUUUAAAAUAUUUUUAUUCAAUGCAUAUAGUUUUUUUUUUAAAAAAAAGCAUGCCAAAGGCUUAUACAAAAGGCUUAUACAAAGUGAUAAGCAGAAGACCCUAUGCCCAUCCCUUUCAUGCUUCCCAAAAGCAAUAUCUUUUUGAAGUAUUCCUUACAGUGUUUACCUCAGUCAUUGAAAAUAAUGAUUAUCCCACUGUUUCUUUAUUUUUAUUCCAGUAAAAUAUACAUUGCACAGAUUUACCAUUUCGACUAAUUUAUGUGUACAGUAGCAUUAAGUACAGUAGCAUUAAGUACAGUUGUGUUGUGGUACAGACAUCACCACGAGCCAUCUACAGAAGUUUUUCAUUCUCUCAAACUGAACUUCUGUAUCCAGUAAACAGUAACUUCUCAUUCCCUUCCUGCCCAGCCCCUGGUAAUGACUCUUCUAGGUCAUGUCACUAUAAAUUUUAUUCUAGGUACAUCAGAUAAAUGGAGUCAUACAAUAUUUGUCCUCUGUUGUCACACUUAUUUCACUUAGCAAAUGUCUUCCAGGGUUGUCUAUGUUGUAAUAUAUAUCAGAAUUUCAUUCCUUUUUAAAGGUUGAAACAUAUUCUAUUUUGUAUACAUAAAACAUCAUAUUUUAUUUGUCUUUUCAUUCAUUGAUGGACAUUUGAUCUAUUUCUAUCUUUGGCUAUUAUGAAUGUGCUGCUAUGAACUCAAGUGUAUAAUAUCUGUUUGAGCCUCUGCUGGCAUUUCUUUGGGACAUAUCUAUAUCUCCAGAAAUGGAAUUAUUGGAUCAUAUGGUAAUUCAGUGUUUGCUUUUCUAAGGAGCACUGUGUUGUCUUCCACAUUCUACUGUUUUCUUAUCAAACACUUUUUAAACAUCAUUUACUGAUUUUGUGUUAUGGUACCUGAUGAUCUAUCCACUCUUAAAGUAUUCUCUAGGCCUUGUGUACUGAUGACUUCCCAUCUAUAUUUCCAGCCCUCACUUUCCCUUGAGCUUCAGGCUUAUAUUAUCCAAAUGCUUAC
ensembl:lncRNA